rnacentral:rRNA from 1 species
AUUGAACGCUGGCGGCAGGCUUAACACAUGCAAGUCGAACGAUGAUUAUCUAGCUUGCUAGUUAUGAUUAGUGGCGGACGGGUGAGUAACAUUUAGGAAUCUGCCUAGUAGUGGGGGAUAGCUCGGGGAAACUCGAAUUAAUACCGCAUACGACCUACGGGUGAAAGGGGGCGCAAGCUCUUGCUAUUAGAUGAGCCUAAAUCAGAUUAGCUAGUUGGUGGGGUAAAGGCCCACCAAGGCGACGAUCUGUAACUGGUCUGAGAGGAUGAUCAGUCACACCGGAACUGAGACACGGUCCGGACUCCUACGGGAGGCAGCAGUGGGGAAUAUUGGACAAUGGGGGCAACCCUGAUCCAGCCAUGCCGCGUGUGUGAAGAAGGCCUUUUGGUUGUAAAGCACUUUAAGCAGGGAGGAGAGGCUAAUGGUUAAUACCCAUUAGAUUAGACGUUACCUGCAGAAUAAGCACCGGCUAACUCUGUGCCAGCAGCCGCGGUAAUACAGAGGGUGCGAGCGUUAAUCGGAAUUACUGGGCGUAAAGCGAGUGUAGGUGGCUCAUUAAGUCACAUGUGAAAUCCCCGGGCUUAACCUGGGAACUGCAUGUGAUACUGGUGGUGCUAGAAUAUGUGAGAGGGAAGUAGAAUUCCAGGUGUAGCGGCGAAAUGCGUAGAGAUCUGGAGGAAUACCGAUGGCGAAGGCAGCUUCCUGGCAUAAUAUUGACACUGAGAUUCGAAAGCGUGGGUAGCAAACAGGAUUAGAUACCCUGGUAGUCCACGCCGUAAACGAUGUCUACUAGCCGUUGGGGUCCUUGAGACUUUAGUGGCGCAGUUAACGCGAUAAGUAGACCGCCUGGGGAGUACGGCCGCAAGGUUAAAACUCAAAUGAAUUGACGGGGGCCCGCACAAGCGGUGGAGCAUGUGGUUUAAUUCGAUGCAACGCGAAGAACCUUACCUGGUCUUGACAUAGUGAGAAUCCUGCAGAGAUGCGGGAGUGCCUUCGGGAAUUCACAUACAGGUGCUGCAUGGCUGUCGUCAGCUCGUGUCGUGAGAUGUUGGGUUAAGUCCCGCAACGAGCGCAACCCUUUUCCUUAUUUGCCAGCGGGUUAAGCCGGGAACUUUAAGGAUACUGCCAGUGACAAACUGGAGGAAGGCGGGGACGACGUCAAGUCAUCAUGGCCCUUACGACCAGGGCUACACACGUGCUACAAUGGUAGGUACAGAGGGUUGCUACACAGCGAUGUGAUGCUAAUCUCAAAAAGCCUAUCGUAGUCCGGAUUGGAGUCUGCAACUCGACUCCAUGAAGUCGGAAUCGCUAGUAAUCGCAGAUCAGAAUGCUGCGGUGAAUACGUUCCCGGGCCU